CCUACGGGUGGCAGCAGUGGGGAAUAUUGCACAAUGGGGGAAACCCUGAUGCAGCGACGCCGCGUGAGUGAAGAAGUAAUUCGUUACGUAAAGCUCUAUCAGCAGGGAAGAAACACUGACCUUACGGUCAGCAGACGGUACCUGAGUAAGAAGCCCCGGCUAACUACGUGCCAGCAGCCGCGGUAAUACGUAGGGGGCAAGCGUUAUCCGGAUUUACUGGGUGUAAAGGGAGAGUAGACGGUGCGCCAAGUCUGGAGUGAAAUGCCGCAGCUUAACUGCGGAACUGCUUUGGAAACUGGCGAACUAGAGUGCGGGAGGGGUAAGCGGAAUUCCUAGGGUAGCGGUGAAAUGCGUAGAUAUUAGGAGGAACACCGGUGGCGAAGGCGGCUUACUGGACCGUAACUGACGUUGAGGCUCGAAAGUGUGGGGAGCAAACAGGAUUAGAUACCCGAGUAGUC
rnacentral:rRNA from 1 species